UCUAGCGACAAUAGCGACAUGGCCCCACCUGAUCCCAUUCCGAACUCAGAAGUGAAACGUGUUAGCGCCGAUGGUAGUGUGGGAGU
rnacentral:rRNA from 1 species